rnacentral:pre_miRNA from 8 species
CCUCUGUUAGGAAGAGUGUGGGGGAGAGGCUGCCUCAUGUCUUGUUUGUCUCACAUUGUGUCUAUAAACAUGCAAAACUUGUUUCCCCCAAGCAACAGAGGGA